CGAUUCCAGCUCCAAUAGCGUAUAUUAAAGUUGUUGCAGUUAAAAAGCUCGUAGUUGAACCUUGGGUCUGGCUGGCCGGUCCGCCUCACCGCGAGUACUGGUCCGGCUGGACCUUUCCUUCUGGGGAACCUCAUGGCCUUCACUGGCUGUGGGGGGAACCAGGACUUUUACUGUGAAAAAAUUAGAGUGUUCAAAGCAGGCCUUUGCUCGAAUACAUUAGCAUGGAAUAAUAGAAUAGGACGUGCGGUUCUAUUUUGUUGGUUUCUAGGACCGCCGUAAUGAUUAAUAGGGAUAGUCGGGGGCGUCAGUAUUCAGCUGUCAGAGGUGAAAUUCUUGGAUUUGCUGAAGACUAACUACUGCGAAAGCAUUCGCCAAGGAUGUUUUCAUUAAUCAGGGAACGAAAGUUAGGGGAUCGAAGACGAUCAGAUACCGUCGUAGUCUUAACCAUAAACUAUGCCGACUAGGGAUCGGGCGGUGUUUCUAUGAUGACCCGCUCGGCACCUUACGAGAAAUCAAAGUUUUUGGGUUCUGGGGGGAGUAUGGUCGCAAGGCU
rnacentral:rRNA from 1 species